AAGUCUAUACUUUCAGGGAUCAUUUCUAUAGUUUGUUACUAGAGAAGUUUCUCUGAACGUGUAGAGCACCAGUCACUAGAGU
ensembl:snoRNA U3 Small nucleolar RNA U3